AACUAACGCUGGCGGCGUGCCUAACACAUGCAAGUCGUACGAGAAAGUUGGCUUCGGCCGAUGAGUAAAGUGGCGCACGGGUGAGUAACGCGUGGAUAAUCUGCCCUUUAGUGUGGAAUAACGUACCGAAAGGUGCGCUAAUACCGCAUAAUACUAAAUGACAUGAGUUGUUUAGUCAAAGAAGGCCUCUGUUUACAAGCUUUUGCUUUAGGAUGAGUCCGCGUACCAUUAGCUAGUUGGUAGGGUAAUGGCCUACCAAGGCGACGAUGGUUAGCUGGUCUGAGAGGAUGAUCAGCCACACUGGAACUGAGACACGGUCCAGACUCCUACGGGUGGCAG
rnacentral:rRNA from 1 species